AUUGAACGCUGGCGGCAGGCCUAACACAUGCAAGUCGAACGAGUGGCGGACGGGUGAGUAAUGUCUGGGAAACUGCCUGAUGGAGGGGGAUAACUACUGGAAACGGUAGCUAAUACCGCAUACCAUCAGAUGUGCCCAGAUGGGAUUAGCUUGUUGGUGGGGUAACGGCUCACCAAGGCGACGAUCCCUAGCUGGUCUGAGAGGAUGACCGGCCGCCCUGGAGCGGGGACACGGUCCAGACGCCUAAGAGAGGCAGCAGUGGGGCAUGUUGCACAGUGGGUGCGAGCCUGAUGCAGCCAUGCCGCGUGUAUGAAGAAGGCCGUGGGGUUGUAAAGUACUUUCAGCGGGGAGGCGUUACCCGCAGAAGAAGCACCGGCUAACUCCGUGCCAGCAGCCGCGGUAAUAC
rnacentral:rRNA from 1 species